GCUAAAGUAGAUCAGUUGGGUGAGUGUUAGAUUGAAGCUCUAAAGGUUCCUAGUUCAAUUCCAGGAUUUGGUA
rnacentral:tRNA from 1 species